GGCGGGAUAGCUCAGUUGGCUAGAGCACACGGUUCAUACCCGUGGUGUCGCUGGUUCAAAUCCAGUUCCCGCUA
rfam:Ruminococcus lactaris ATCC 29176 Scfld_02_11 genomic scaffold, whole genome shotgun sequence.